CUGGCUCAGGCCCAGUGCCCAGGGAGUCCUGAAGAGAUGAGGGGUCCAUUUGUCCCUGAUGCUUUUCUCUCCACAUCUCAGAAAUGUUAGGACUACAAAAUCUGGCGUGGUUGAAGACACCUCAGAGUAAGCGAGGGAGAUGGAGGCCUCUCGCUUGAAGGAGAUUUGGGGAGGCGCAGACCCUGGUGGCACCAGCAAAUGGAAGCCAACUAAGCAAUGACGUAAGCUGUGGAACCAAGAUUGGGCCAUGCCAGGAAGGCUGAGCAGAGUUAAUCUCAUGCUGGAGAAAACAAGAACAAAAACAAGGACAUGAAAAGGAAUUGAACUGGGCUUGGAUCGGGCCACAUGGUUGACUUGGGGAAAUAUCCUGAUAACUCUGUAAUUGAGCUACCUGGGCCAAGGAGCUAGUUCACAGCCAGGAUUAGGGUGUACAUUCUCCUGAGGAGAAUUUAUCCACCCACAGUCAUUCCGCCUGGAGGGAGGUCAAUCCUGAGGCGGAUGAUGGGGCCAGCAGUGGAGGGAAGGAGACUCUGUUAUGGGAUUGAGGGGGCAGCUGAGGAUGGCUUUCCACUGGCAGAGGUUCAGUUAUUCUGUGUCACGUGAGAAUGGCUGCGAAUUAGAGACUCUGAGGUAGGUUUUGGGUCUCUGAGUCUGAACACUAGCAAACCUCAUGGUUGUUAUAACCACGUUGGUGGUUCCUUUCUAUGAACCCCAAGCUUUUCACAGCGUCUCUCUGAAAGUCACAGGCUGGUCUUAUUUGUGCUGUGGGACAUUGGAGAGCCAGCACAGGGGGCUCAGCAGCAGCACCUGUGGAGAGAGACAGACAGAGGGACUGAGAGAGCCGGGAAGUAUGGCGGCCUGAUAAUGAUUGGUAAAUCUAGGUUUAAAGGUGUUUGCUCUGUUAGUCUUUAGACUUCUCUAACGGUUUGAAAAUUUUCAAGAUACAAAGUUGGGGGGAAAGAAACAGCAACGGGGACAUUUUUAGUUCUUAAAUAGGUGACAAUCAUGGCACAGACGUUAAAUCUAGCAAGACUAUUCUGUUUAUAUUUUACAGUAUUAUGUUACAUCAACAGUAGCUAGCCUGGGACUUUGAACUUAAGAGGGAUUCAUCUAUUUUUUGAAUAGCACAGAUUUAAACUACUUUCACCUCACUGUGAGAACACGCCAAGGGAAACUCUAGAGGGUCCUGUCCCUGCCCUCGAAUUCCUGGGGCUGCGGGACACCAGUAUCCACAUUUCUCAGCCUUGAAUGGAGGCUCAGGGAGAGGGAGAGUUACCAUCCCUGACAUCCUCUCUGCCCCGUGUGCUCCACCGACCAGCAGCAUCUGCAUCUCCUGGGAGCUUGUUAGAGAUGCAGCAUAUCACCCUGGCGGCAGCCCCGCUGAAGCAGAAGCUGAUUCAUAUGCACAUUAGUUUCAUCCCUGCUAGAAUAAAAUCGGACUAACGCCG
rnacentral:lncRNA from 1 species